rnacentral:rRNA from 1 species
CAGUAGCCGCGGUAAAACGAAGGGGGCUAGCGUUGCUCGGAAUUACUGGGCGUAAAGGGAGCGUAGGCGGAUCGUUUAGUCAGGGGUGAAAUCCCGGGGCUCAACCUCGGAACUGCCUUUGAUACUGGCGAUCUUGAGUACGGGAGAGGUGUGUGGAACUCCGAGUGUAGAGGUGAAAUUCGUAGAUAUUCGGAAGAACACCAGUGGCGAAGGCGACACACUGGCCCAUUACUGACGCUGAGGCUCGAAAGCGUGGGGAGCAAACAGGAUUAGAUACCCGAGUAGUCCCUGUCUCUUAUAC